rnacentral:tRNA from 1 species
AGGAGUGUAGUUCAAUGGUAGAACAGAGGUCUCCAAAACCUUAGAUGAGGGUUCGAUUCCUUCCACUCCUG